GUUUGAUCCUGGCUCAGAAUCAACGCUGGCGGCGCGCUUAACGCAUGCAAGUCGAGCGAGAAAGGGGAGCAAUCCCUGAGUAAAGCGGCGUACGGGUGAGUAACACGUGGGUCAUAUACCUCUUAGUGGGGAAUAACCCUGGGAAACCGGGGCUAAUACCGCAUGAGCCUGAAAAGGGAAAGCAGCAAUGCGCUGAGAGAGUAGCCCGCGGCCGAUUAGCUAGUUGGUGAGGUAAUGGCCCACCAAGGCGACGAUCGGUAGCCGGCCUGAGAGGGCACACGGCCACACUGGCACUGAAACACGGGCCAGACUCCUACGGGAGGCAGCAGUGGGGAAUCUUGCACAAUGGGGGAAACCCUGAUGCAGCGACGCCGCGUGAGCGAUGAAGCCCCUCGGGGUGUAAA
rnacentral:rRNA from 1 species